rnacentral:rRNA from 1 species
UACGAAGGGAGCUAGCGUUGCUCGGAAUCACUGGGCGUAAAGCGCACGUAGGCGGAUGUGUCAGUCAGGGGGUGAAAAUCCCGGAGCUCAACUUCGGAACUGCCUUUGAUACAGCACAUCUGGAGUCCGGAAGAGGUGGGUGGAAUUCCUAGUGUAGAGGUGAAAAUUCGUAGAUAUUUAGGAAGAACACCGGUGGCGAAGGCGGCCCACUGGUCCGGUACUGACGCUGAGGUGCGAAAAGCGUGGGGGAGCAAACAGG